rfam:Clostridium ultunense Esp genomic scaffold, CTLT_3033
AAUAAAAAUGAAUAUAAAGCUCAUAUAAUUCUCAUAAUAUGGUUGAGAAGUUUCUACGAAAUGACCGUAAAUCAUUUAGCUAUGGGCGAAAGUGUACCUAGG